rnacentral:rRNA from 1 species
AGUGAACGCUGGCGGUAGGCCUAACACAUGCAAGUCGAACGGCAGCACAGUAAGAGCUUGCUCUUACGGGAGGCGAGUGGCGGCCGGGUGAGGAAUACAUCGGAAUCUACUUUUUCGUGGGGGAUAACGUAGGGAAACUUACGCUAAUACCGCAUACGACCUACGGGUGAAAGCAGGGGAUCUUCGGACCUUGCGCGAUUGAAUGAGCCGAUGUCGGAUUAGCUAGUUGGCGGGGUAAAGGCCCACCAAGGCGACGAUCCGUAGCUGGUCUGAGAGGAUGAUCAGCCACACUGGAACUGAGACACGGUCCAGACUCCUACGGGAGGCAGCAGUGGGGAAUAUUGGACAAUGGGCGCAAGCCUGAUCCAACCAUACCGCGUGGGUGAAGAAGGCCUUCGGGUUGUAAAGCCCUUUUGUUGGGAAAGAAAAGCAGCAGGUUAAUACCCCGCUGUUCUGACGGUACCCAAAGAAGAAGCACCGGCUAACUUCGUG